rnacentral:rRNA from 1 species
ACUAGCAUUAAUCACUGCCUCACCGGAUGAACGCACUCAGGUGAGGCUUAAGACAAGCAAGUAGUAUCCGCAUCAGGUCCUUCGGGACGCUGACGAGUGGCGCACGGGUGAGUAACGCGUAUGCAACCUGCCCUGUACAGGGGGAUAGCCCGGAGAAAUCCGGAUUAAUACCCCAUAGUUUUUAUGAGUCGCAUGGCUUAUAAAAUAAAGCUUCGGCGGUACAGGAUGGACAUGCGUGGCAUUAGCUUGUUGGUAGGUAACGGCUUACCAAGGCGACGAUGCCUAGGGGUUCUGAGAGGAUGAUCGCCCACACUGGGACUGAGACACGGCCCAGACUCCUACGGGAGGCAGCAGUGAGGAAUAUUGGUCAAUGGGCGAGAGCCUGAACCAGCCAUCCCGCGUGCAGGAUGACGGCCCUACGGGUUGUAAACUGCUUUUAUGUACCAAGAAUAGGCGCUACGUGUAGCGUUAUGACGGUAGUACAUGAAUAAGCAUCGGCUAACUCCGUGCCAGCAGCCGCGGUAAUACGGAGGAUGCAAGCGUUAUCCGGAUUCAUUGGGCUUAAAGGGUGCGUAGGCGGCUAUAUAAGUCAGUGGUGAAAUGCUGCAGCUCAACUGUAGAACUGCCAUUGAAACUGUAUAGCUUGAGUGCGCCUGAGGUAGGCAGAAUGAGUAGUGUAGCGGUGAAAUGCUUAGAUAUUACUCAGAACACCGAUUGCGAAGGCAGCUUACUAAAGCGUAACUGACGCUGAUGCACGAAAGCGUGGGGAGCGAACAGGAUUAGAUACCCUGGUAGUCCACGCCGUAAACGAUGAUAACUCGCUGUUGGCGAUACACAGUCAGCGGCUAAGCGAAAGCAUUAAGUUAUCCACCUGGGGAGUACGAUCGCAAGGUUGAAACUCAAAGGAAUUGACGCUGGCCCGCACAAGCGGAGGAACAUGUGGUUUAAUUCGAUGAUACGCGAGGAACCUUACCUGGGCUUAAAUGUGGAUUGACCGUUGCCGAAAGGUGACUUCCCUAACGCCCAAUUUACAAGGUGCUGCAUGGUUGUCGUCAGCUCGUGCCGUGAGGUGUCGGGACUGGUCCUGUAACGAGCGCAACCCUUAUCGUCAGUAUGCAACAGGUUAAGCUGAGGACUCUGGCGAGACUGCCACCGUAAGGUGCUUCGAAGGUGGCCAUGACGUCAAAUCAGCACGGCCCUUAUGUCCAGGGCUACACACGUGUUACAAUGGUCGGUACAAAGGGCAGCUACUUGGCAACAAGAUGCUAAUCCCAAAAGCCGGUCUCAGUUCGGAUUGGAGUCUGCAACCCGACUCCAUGAAGCUGGAUUCGCUAGUAAUCGCGCAUCAGCCAUGGCGCGGUGAAUACGUUCCCGGGCCUUGUACACACCGCCCGUCAAACCAUGGAAGCUUGCAGACCUGAAGUCUGCAACCGCAAUGAGCCGUAGGGUAAAGCAAUGA